rnacentral:rRNA from 1 species
CCUACGGGUGGCAGCAGUGGGGAAUAUUGCACAAUGGGCGCAAGCCUGAUGCAGCGACGCCGCGUGAGCGAUGAAGGCCUUCGGGUCGUAAAGCCCUGUCCUAAGGGAAGAAUAAUGACGGUACCUUAGGAGGAAGCCCCGGCUAACUACGUGCCAGUAGCCGCGGUAAUACGUAGGGGGCGAGCGGUUUCCGGAAUCACUGGGCGGAAAGGGUGGGUAGGCGGCCGAUAACGUCUGGGGUGAAAGGCUACGGCUCAACCGUAGUAAGCCUUGGAAACUUAUUGGCUUGAGUUCAGGAGAGGAGAGCGGAAUUCCUGGUGUAGCGGUGAAAUGCGUAGAUAUCAGGAGGAACACCAGUGGCGACGGCGGCUCUCUGGACUGUAACUGACGCUGAGGCACGAAAGCGUGGGGAGCAAACAGGAUUAGAUACCCGGGUAGUC